GGCUACAUGGUGGUGCAGUUGGUAGCAUUGUUGCUUUGCAGCAAGAAGGUCCUGGGUUUGACUCCCAGGUUGGUCU